rnacentral:rRNA from 1 species
UGGGGAAUUUUGGACAAUGGGCGCAAGCCUGAUCCAGCCAUGCCGCGUGUGGGAAGAAGGCCUUCGGGUUGUAAACCACUUUUGUCAGGGAAGAAACGGACUGGAUUAAUACUCUGGUCUAAUGACGGUACCUGAAGAAUAAGCACCGGCUAACUACGUGCCAGCAGCCGCGGUAAUACGUAGGGUGCAAGCGUUAAUCGGAAUUACUGGGCGUAAAGCGUGCGCAGGCGGCUUUGCAAGACAGAUGUGAAAUCCCCGGGCUCAACCUGGGAACUGCAUUUGUGACUGCAUGGCUUGAGUACGGUAGAGGGGGAUGGAAUUCCGCGUGUAGCAGUGAAAUGCGUAGAUAUGCGGAGGAACACCGAUGGCGAAGGCAAUCCCCUGGACCUGUACUGACGCUCAGGCACGAAAGCGUGGGGAGCAAACAG